rnacentral:rRNA from 1 species
AGAGUUUGAUCAUGGCUCAGGAUGAACGCUAGCGGGAGGCUUAACACAUGCAAGUCGAGGGGCAGCACGAGGUAGCAAUACUUUGGUGGCGACCGGCAGACGGGUGAGUAACGCGUAUGUAACCUACCCUGUACAGGGGGAUAACCCGGAGAAAUUCGGACUAAUAUCCCAUAGAAAUAUCGGAAGGCAUCUUUUGAUAUUUAAAGUUCCGGCGGUACGGGAUGGGCAUGCGUAACAUUAGCUAGUCGGUAAGGUAACGGCUUACCAAGGCUUUGAUGUUUAGGGGUCCUGAGAGGGUGAUCCCCCACACUGGUACUGAGACACGGACCAGACUCCUACGGGAGGCAGCAGUGAGGAAUAUUGGUCAAUGGGCGCAAGCCUGAACCAGCCAUCCCGCGUGCAGGAAGACGGCCCUAUGGGUUGUAAACUGCUUUUCCAGGGGGAGAAACUUGCGUACGCGUUGCGCAAUUGACGGUACCCUGGGAAUAAGCAUCGGCUAACUCCGUGCCAGCAGCCGCGGUAAUACGGAGGAUGCAAGCGUUAUCCGGAUUCAUUGGGUUUAAAGGGUGCGUAGGCGGACUAUUAAGUCAGUGGUGAAAUCCUGCAGCUUAACUGCAGAACUGCCAUUGAUACUGAUAGCCUUGAGUUUGGUUAAGGUAG